UUNUUAUUAAUUAUAUAUAAUAAGUAUAUUCUACCCGGUGAUAAAAAUUUAACGGUUAUUUAAAUAGUAUUAAAGUAGCGUAAUAAAUUGUCAUUUAAUUAAUGAAUAUAAUGAAGAUUAUAUGAAUUGAAUACUGUCUUUAAAAAAUAAAAUAAAAUUAAUAAUUUAGUGAAAAAUCUUAAUUAUUUUUGAAAGACGAUAAGACCCUAUAGAACUUAUUUAAAAUUUUAAAUUUACUGGGGAAGUAAAGAUAAAUAUAAAAUUAUCUUUAAAUAUAGAAAUAUUAAAUUUUUUUUAACCAUUAUUUAAUGAUUAAAAAGUUACCUUAGGGAUAMCAGCAUUAAAAAUAUAGAAAGUUCUUAUUUAUAUAUUUUUUAAUGACCUCGAUGUUGAAUUAAGAUAAAUUUAAAAAGUAAAAAUUUUAUUUAAUUAGGUCUGUUCGACCUUUAAAAUCUU
rnacentral:rRNA from 1 species